rnacentral:rRNA from 1 species
GAUGAACGCUAGCGGCAGGCCUAAUACAUGCAAGUCGAACGAUGAACUUGGAGCUUGCUCUGGGGGAUUAGUGGCGAACGGGUGAGUAACACGUGAGUAACCUGCCCUGGACUCUGGGAUAACUUCGAGAAAUCGGAGCUAAUACCGGAUAGGACCUUGCACCGCAUGGUGUGGGGUGGAAAGUUUUUCGGUUUGGGAUGGACUCGCGGCCUAUCAGCUUGUUGGUGAGGUAAUGGCUCACCAAGGCGUCGACGGGUAGCCGGCCUGAGAGGGUGACCGGCCACACUGGGACUGAGACACGGCCCAGACUCCUACGGGAGGCAGCAGUGGGGAAUAUUGCACAAUGGGCGCAAGCCUGAUGCAGCAACGCCGCGUGCGGGAUGACGGCCUUCGGGUUGUAAACCGCUUUUAGUAGGGAAGAAGCCUUCGGGUGACGGUACCUGCAGAAAAAGGACCGGCUAACUACGUGCCAGCAGCCGCCGUAACAC